CUUGGACAUUUCCAGGGCUGAGGCAGCUACAGCUUCUCUGGGCAACCUGUGCCAGGGCCUCCCCACCCUCUGAAUAAAGAAUUUUUAGGUGCUCUCAAAUUAUCUCUCUCAAUGGCAGCUGGGAUUUUAUUCCCAUAAUCCCAAAUCUGUGCUGGGCAGGUUGUAAAUCCCAGCUGUACAUCAGGGAAGGGUUGGAUUCCUUCUGUCUCCAUCUGCAGCCUCUCACUUUUAUGACCCUUUUGGAUCUUUGUUUCCAUCACAAGGAAUGUCUUCAUGCAGAUGGAUGAGUUUGACUGUGGGCAGGAUCCAGAGAAGGGGAUUUACAGGGCCUCUGGGCACUCAGGACACAGGAGCACCUUGUAACAUGCCUUGGAUAUGACGGAUGGGGAAUAUUAUCUCAAUGCUAAUAAAUACCCAGCCACAAAUUGGCUCCGUUUUAAUUCAUUUGUCUGCUGCCUGUGGUUGGUGACUGACACCAAAUCAAGGCUCAGACACAUUAAACCUCUAAUUACUGCUGAUUUCUUCCUCUAUUCUUUCUUUUCUCCAGGGCAAUACAGAUAUAUGGGAAUAUAUCCAUAUGGAUGUGCUGCCUUUGGGCAUACUUCUGUCCCAGUCCUGUACCACAGCUUGGUGCAAGAUGGAGGAGGUGCAAAGCUGGUGUAAAUCUCACCUGGCUCAGGAGCAUCAUUUCAACUGCUCAGGAGGCUCCAGAAGCUGAACUUUGGCAAACAAGGGUCAGUGGCUUCAGGGCAAUCUGGGCACAAACAAAACUUCUUUGCUCUUCAGCAAUGAGUAACUUCAUCUGAGCUGAAGCAAGACUGGAGGAAGGCUGAUAAAAAGCAAUCCAAAGGUCCUCAGUGGAUCCAACCUGUCAGCUCUGACUGUGCACAGGGAUGAGAUGCCCUCAGCGAUGUGAGGUUUGAUCAGACCCAUCCAAACACAGAGAUAAGACGAUCUUCUUCAAUAAUUGAAGUGGUAUUAAGGUCGGGCCUCUCACUUUUAGUGCUUUUCAACUCUCUUGCCAAUUGUUUCCUUGCUCUUUGCAGAGAAAUUACACUUCUCUCGGUUUGGCAUUUGUUCUGCUCUGUGCCAGGGGUUCCCAGCAGCUCCAGCACAGCCUGACCUCCCAGAGCAGCGGGAAUAUCAUAACUUGUUUUCAUGGAGACUGGAGGAAAGGAAUAAAUAAAUGUGGCUGGGAAUAGCAAGGCUUCACCUGCUGCCUCCAGGAUAAACCAGGGAGAGCCACGGUCUGGUUGUGAGGUUACACAAAGAAGAGGGGACAGCCCCAGGUGUUGUCCCUGUCUCUGUGUCACCAGGGCCAUGGUUGGUGCUGUGGGAUUUGUGUGGCCUCAUCAUUCCCAAGGGAUGGGGAGCAAACCCCAACCCAUGUGCUGCUUCAUCAGGGCUACCCCUCAAGGACCAACGUGGUGGGCUUGGAGCAACCUGGGCUAGUGGAAGGUGUCCCUGCACAUGGCAGGGGGUGGAAAUGAGGUGACAUUUAAGGUGCCUUCCCAACAAACCAUCCCAUGAUACAACAUAAAAAUUAAAUGGAGCUGCUGGAGGAGUCCAGAGGCAGCCACAGAGCUCCUCCGAGGGCUGGAGCCCUUCUGCUCUGGAGCCAGGCUGGGAGAGCUGGGAGCGUUCACCGGGAGAAGAGAAGGCUCCAGGGAGACCUGAGAGCCCCUUCCAGGGCCUAAAUGGGCUCCAGGAGAGCUGGAGAGGGACUUGGGACAAGGGAUGAAGGGACAGGACAAGGGGGAAUGGCUUCCCACUGCCCUCUGGGCAGGGUUAGAUGGGAUAUUGGGAAGGAAUUCCUGUCUGGGAGGGUGGGGAGGCCCUGGCACAGGUUGCCCAGAGAAGCUGUGGCUGUCUCAGCCCUGGAAGUGUUCCAGGCCAGGUUGGAGGGGCUUGGAGCAACCUGGGCUAGUGGAAGGUGUCCCUGCCCAUGGCAGGGAUGGAACUGGAUGAUCCUUCGAGUCCGUUCCAACCCAAGCCAUUCCAUGAUUCUGAGACUGCCCAAACAGGGCAGGGAUGGCAUUUAUUUGGGAUGUGCUCAGAGUCACUGGGUGAUGUCCCAGCAUGAGCUGGGAGAUGUACCUUUACAAUACACCACUGAAAAAAUCCAUAAAAUUCCAUCUGGCUGGUGGAAUUGCAGCCUGGGAGCCAGAAAAGCUCCGAUUUGGAUCCCAGUCUUAUUGCUGAGCUGCUGUGUGGUCCUGAAAGAUCACUUCUUGUUCUUCUCUUAUCCUUUACUUAUGAGGUUACAACACUUCUGGAGCAGCAAAUUUCUGUCUGAGGAAAGUUUUGAUUCUGUCUGUGCCAGGGGUGGCUUUGUCAUGGUUAAGGUUUCUAGGUCCUACAGGGAUCCUCCAGAGACUGCUGGUGAAGGUGGGUCUUCCAAAACUGCUCUGACAAUGAAAAUGGACAUCUGGUCUGAGAUCAUUCCUUUUUAUUUGCUGCUUGGAGGGAAUUUCUUAGAAUAAUGACUUUCCUUGUCAGAGGAUUCAAUCUGCCCUCACUCUGCACUGGAUAUUUUCUCACACAGAAGAGCAGGUGAAUUUUGUCAGAGCAGAAGGUUGGGGUGGGUUAAUCCCAGAAAUUCUCAGCUCAGAUCCUCCUCACCCCUGGUGAAAUGAAAAGCUGAACCCAGGUGGGACUGCUGAGGUGGUUCAGCUCUAAAAUUGAUCUAAAAAUACAAGUCAAAACUCCCAGAUUGGGAGGGGAAAUUUUAAGCUAUGUCAAACCUGCCUUGUAACCUCCUCAUGCCCACUGUGGCAGCAGCUACUCCUGCCCUGUCACAGGCACUAAUUACCCCAAACAGUACAUUCCUCUGGGAGCAGACAGACUUUUCCAGGCCUUGUUAUUCCUCAUUACUUGAAUCACUCUGUCUUUAUCUCCUUUGAUUCUGCUGGGACACCCAGGCAAUUUUCCAAGGCUGUGAGCAUGGGAUUCGGAAGGAAUCAUUGCCUGGCACUGAUGCUGAAGCUGAAGCUGCUCUCUUGUGAUUUGCCAAUAAACCAGAAGGCACUUUGCCACCUGAUACUGCUCAAAAUUGGGGUUGGGGUGAGAUGGUAAAUUACGGCCUUUCCCUUUCUGUAGCUGUUUGAUAGAGCUGGUUUGGGUGUCUGGUGUAGUCAAACUGAAGGUGUUUUACCCUCCCUCGUAUUAAAAAAAAAACCCAAACAGUUGAAUUGAGCUCUGUGUUCCCAGAAGUGGCUGCAUUCCAUUAGAGUUUGCAUAUGAUGGGAGGAAAAAGAUUGGCACAGCAGGAAAUACCUCCUUUCCUCUCUUCUUGUUCCAGAGGGACCCGGAAAACUCAUGGGCACUGAUGCCCUGAGAGCUGUGCUCCAACUCCUGCCUGAGCAGUGAGACAUUCAGGUGAUUUAUGUGUGUCCUGGUUUAUAGACUCCAGUCCAGUUCUUCUGAGACUGAUGGCGUUCCUGGGAUACCAGUCUGAAGGGAAACAUUCCUCCCACAACCCAUGGCCCUCUGAAAGUUGUCCUGUGUCACUGCCUUGUGCAGGAUGUGUCCCCCAUUUCUGGUUGUCUGAGCUGUUUUGUGUCAGUGGUGCUUGUUUGUCUCUCCUACCACCUUCUGGUUCCUUCCUUUAAUGUUUGUCAGCUUUAUGUUUAACUCUUAAUGAGUUCUAAUUAGCCAUCACCCAUGAAUGCCAUUAAAAAAAUGCCAGAAUCAUCCUUGAACUCUCAUCUGUCUUUUUCCUGCUCUGAUGGGACUGAAUUCCUAAUUACAAAGGAGUAAGGAACAAGAAAGAAGAUAUAGAAGAUACAUAAGAUCAAAGGAACUGUUCUGUCCUUGCUAGAUCCUGCUUGACAGUCUGAUUAUCCUCAAGAUAAUCUGUCCUGGUGCAGUCCCAGAGGAGAAGGAUGAGCAGCCCUGGAGGCAGUGGAAGGAGAUUGAGGCUGGUGUGAAUAUGUGUGUGAAGUUCAGGUUCAUCUUGGCACAGUCCUGCUGGAAAUCCCAAUCCCACAAGGUUAAUGGUGGCAGGAAAAGGAAUACUGGGGGGGCUGGGGAAGUGAGGGCUUGUUCCAGCUCAGUGUAAGCUCUGGCAGGGGGGCUGCACUCCCGAGGAGCCUCACACACACCCGGGGGGUGCAAGGACACAUCGAAGUGACAAGAUGUGUCACCAACCCAGAGAUGGUCAUUCGCCUCAGAAUCCUGCAAUCAUUUAGGUUGGAAAAGACCUCCCAGGUCUUUGAGUCAGCCACUGAACAGCCUUGGGCUGCUGCUGCUCCUGCUCCGUGGUGACAGAGAAAUUUUUGCCUCAAGGAACCCAAUCAUGGAAUGGCUUGGGUUGGAACGGACUCGAAGGAUCAUCCAGUUCCACCCCUGCCAUGGGCAGGGACACCUUCCACUAGCCCAGGUUGCUCCAAGCCCCUCCAACCUAGCCUGGAACACUUCCAGGGCUGAGACAGCCACAGCUUCUCUGGGCAACCUGUGCCAGGGCCUCCCCACCCUCCCAGCCAGGAAUUCCUUCCCAGUAUCCCAUCUAACCCUGCCCAGAGGGCAGUGGGAAGCCAUUCCCCCUUGUCCUGUCCCUUCAUCCCUUGUCCCAAGUCCCUCUCCAGCUCUCCUGGAGCCCAUUUAGGCCCUGGAAGGGGCUCUCAGGUCUCCCUGGAGCCUUCUCUUCUCCCGGUGA